rnacentral:rRNA from 1 species
GACGAACGCUGGCGGCGUGCUUAACACAUGCAAGUCGAGCGGUAAGGCCCUUCGGGUACGACGAGCGGCGAACGGGUGAGUAACACGUGGGUGACCUGCCUCUAGCUCUGGGAUAAGCCUGGGAAACUGGGUCUAAUACCGGAUAUGACUCCACGGCGCAUGUUGUGGGGUGGAAAGCCUUGUGUGGCUAGAGAUGGGCCCGCGGCCUAUCAGCUUGCUGGUGGGGGAUGGCCUACCAAGGCGACGACGGGUAGGCCGGCCUGAGAGGGCGGACCGGCCACACUGGGACUGAGACACGGCCCAGACUCCUACGGGAGGCAGCAGUGGGGAAUCUUGCGCAAUGGGCGAAAGCCUGACGCAGCGACGCCGCGUGAGGGAUGACGGCCU